rnacentral:rRNA from 1 species
UACGAAGGGGGCUAGCGUUGUUCGGAUUUACUGGGCGUAAAGCGCACGUAGGCGGAUCGUUAAGUCGGGGGUGAAAUCCUGGAGCUCAACUCCAGAACUGCCUUCGAUACUGGCGAUCUUGAGUCCGGAUGAGGUGAGUGGAACUCCUAGUGUAGAGGUGGAAUUCGUAGAUAUUAGGAAGAACACCAGUGGCGAAGGCGGCUCACUGGUCCGGUACUGACGCUGAGGUGCGAAAGCGUGGGGAGCAAACAGG